UACGAGUGUCCGUGCCGGACUGAGAGGGCACCGGGGUCAUUCCGCCGCCAUGAACAUCACUGAGAGGGUCUCCACUCCCGUCAAAUGCCGGGUUCAUCUACAUGUUCACCUGGAAGGCUCGAUGCGCUCAUCGACGCUCUGGGACCUCAGAAGACAGAAGAACUUGCCGUUACCUGGAAAUGGCGCUUUGAGGGAUCUCGAAGAAACCUUAACC